rnacentral:lncRNA from 1 species
CAUUUCAUCCCAUCAUUUGAUCAUCUGAGAAAGAUAUGGAUCGAAUAAUGUAAUAUCAUCUUAGAGCUCUUUGAUCGAUCUCUGAUCGAUAUCUUUGGCUCAUUUGAUGCUCGAUGAAAUCUUACAAACACAGUAAUCCAUGCGGUUGUGGAAAACAGUUUUGACAAUAACACCGUUUGGUAAUGGGUUUGGAGGGAAAACGGCAAACGAAGCAUGUGACAACAGUGAACACAUAAUCCAAAGUCCUAUCCAAAGUUGUCGGUUUUACUUGAAAUUGAAUAUAAAUGCUGGAAAAAUGGAAGCCAGCCCUAGGGCCCCUUAGCUGGACAUUUUAAAUAAAUGUGUUUUAAAAAUUU